AACGAACGCUGGCGGCAGGCUUAACACAUGCAAGUCGAACGCCCCGCAAGGGGAGUGGCAGACGGGUGAGUAACGCGUGGGAAUCUACCCAUCCCUACGGAACAACUCCGGGAAACUGGAGCUAAUACCGUAUACGCCCUUAGGGGGAAAGAUUUAUCGGGGAUGGAUGAGCCCGCGUUGGAUUAGCUAGUUGGUGGGGUAAAGGCCUACCAAGGCGACGAUCCAUAGCUGGUCUGAGAGGAUGAUCAGCCACAUUGGGACUGAGACACGGCCCAAACUCCUACGGGAGGCAGCAGUGGGGAAUAUUGGACAAUGGGCGCAAGCCUGAUCCAGCCAUGCCGCGUGAGUGAUGAAGGCCUUAGGGUUGUAAAGCUCUUUCACCGAUGAAGAUAAUGACGGUAGUCGGAGAAGAAGCCCCGGCUAACUUCGUGCCAGCAGCCGCCGCAGUAA
rnacentral:rRNA from 1 species